UACGGGGGGAGCAAGCGUUGUUCGGAUUUACUGGGCGUAAAGGGCGCGUAGGCGGCCACGACAAGUCACUUGUGAAAGCUCGACGCUCAACGUCGAGUCGGCCAGUGAUACUGUUGGGCUGGAGCACUGUAGAGGCUCAUGGAAUUCCGGGUGUAGCGGUGGAAUGCGUAGAGAUCCGGAAGAACACCGGUGGCGAAGGCGGUGAGCUGGGCAGUAGCUGACACUGAGGCGCGACAGCGUGGGGAGCAAACAGG
rnacentral:rRNA from 1 species